GGAGGGUGCAAGCGUUAUCCGGAUUUACUGGGUGUAAAGGGAGCGUAGACGGAGCAGCAAGUCUGAUGUGAAAACCCGGGGCUCAACCCCGGGACUGCAUUGGAAACUGUUGAUCUGGAGUGCCGGAGAGGUAAGCGGAAUUCCUAGUGUAGCGGUGAAAUGCGUAGAUAUUAGGAGGAACACCAGUGGCGAAGGCGGCUUACUGGACGGUAACUGACGUUGAGGCUCNNANGCGUGGGGAGCAAACAGGAUUAGAUACCCUGGUAGUCCACGCCGUAAACGAUGACUACUAGGUGUCGGGUGGCAAAGCCAUUCGGUGCCGCAGCCAACGCAAUAAGUAUUCCACCUGGGGAGU
rnacentral:rRNA from 1 species